rnacentral:rRNA from 1 species
GAUGAACGCUGGCGGCGUGCCUAAUACAUGCAAGUCGAGCGAACAGAUAAGGAGCUUGCUCCUUUGACGUUAGCGGCGGACGGGUGAGUAACACGUGGGUAACCUACCUAUAAGACUGGAAUAACUCCGGGAAACCGGGGCUAAUGCCGGAUAAUAUUUAGAACCGCAUGGUUCUAUAGUGAAAGAUGGUUUUGCUAUCACUUAUAGAUGGACCCGCGCCGUAUUAGCUAGUUGGUAAGGUAACGGCUUACCAAGGCAACGAUACGUAGCCGACCUGAGAGGGUGAUCGGCCACACUGGAACUGAGACACGGUCCAGACUCCUACGGGAGGCAGCAGUAGGGAAUCUUCCGCAAUGGGCGAAAGCCUGACGGAGCAACGCCGCGUGAGUGAUGAAGGUCUUCGGAUCGUAAAACUCUGUUAUUAGGGAAGAACAAAUGUGUAAGUAACUGUGCACGUCUUGACGGUACCUAAUCAGAAAGCCACGGCUAACUACGUG